CUUGACCUACGGGGCGCAGCAGUGGGGAAUAUUGCGCAAUGGGCGAAAGCCCGACGCAGCGACGCCGCGUGAGGGAUGAAGGCCUUCGGAUCGUAAACCUCUGUCAGCAGGGAAGAACGGUCACUGUGCUAAUCAGCAGUGAAUUGACGGUACCUGCAAAGGAAGCACCGGCUAACUCCGUGCCAGCAGCCGCGGUAAUACGGAGGGUGCGAGCGUUAAUCGGAAUUACUGGGCGUAAAGCGCUCGUAGGCGGUAUGUCAAGUCAAGGGUGAAAUCCCCGCGCUCAACGUGGUGACUGCCUUUGA
rnacentral:rRNA from 1 species